CCUUGUUCUAGAAUUAAUAGAUGACCUAAAGAUAGAAACAUAUUGUACUUAUACUAGGGUAGAAAAACUGGAAAAAAAAUACCCCUGUGGGUUCAGUGCGGGCCGCAUAAAAUAGAUCGCGGCCAUACUAGGCUCUUAGACUUCUAAUGUAGGCUCUCUGAACUUGGGCUCCGCGGACAUCGUAGAAAGGACCGCGGCGAUGGAGGUCUCUAAUGCGGUCCCCACAAAUUGUGACCACAGACCACGCAACUUAAACCAUGUCAAUUUUCACCUCUCUGAAUCUCUCUUCCGCGGACAGUACAUAAUGGUAGUGCUGUCGCGGAGCCUUCACCGCGGACCACGCAAUGUGUACUCGGUCGUGUUGCCUGAAGCCUGGCUUUGCCAUAUCUCUGAUUCUACCUAGUGCGGAACGCACAUUGUGUACCGCGCCCGCACUAGGCCCGUUUGCCUUCAGUUUGCCUUGUCUUUAAUACUUGAUCAUGUUUCACUCAUUUUGAGUCGCUCUUUGACAUUUCGUCAUUUUCUCGAUUAAACCUACAAUUAAUCACAUUUAUGAGCCUUUUGGGACUAUUUUGUAUUAAUUUAUAACCAAAGCGUAAGCAAGAAAGAGCAUAAAACAGGACAAAAUCCUAGUUAUCAAUAAUCACUAAUUUUAGCAUGAGCAGUACAUAAUCACAACAAUCACAGUAUAAGACGCACUUGCAUGCUCAACACCAACAUAUAGAUACUCGUCAUUACAUCUAUAUGUCAUACUCAACACAAACAUGUAGAAAAUAUGAUCACAACUCCUAUUCUCUCAAGAUAAGGUUAGACCAAAUACUUACCUCAAUUCCACGGCCAAAAUCAAGCAUCAAUUACAACUUUACCUCUUUGUCCCACUUCCAAUCCGCUUGAAUCUAGUCAUAAUUUACUUAAUAACAUCAAUAAACACUAAAUAAACCAAUACUAAUUCAUGAGUAUAGAUUUUCCAAUAUUUUCUCCAAAAAGUGAGAAACCGACCCAGGCCCGCUUGGUGAAAACUCGAAGUUCGAACCAAAAUCCUACUUUCCAUUCACUCACAAACCCAAAUAUGCAAUUGGUUUUGAAAUCUGACCUCAAUUUAAGGUCCAAAUCACUAAAUUUUGAAAUUCCUAUAUUUCUUAUCGUACCAUCAUGAGUAAAUGGGCCAAAAGGGUCGUCAUGAUAUAGUCAGAAUAAAACAUAACGGAAUACUUGACAUAGGACGACCCAACAUGAUAUAUAAACUUAUACAUGUGACAUACGAGCUUAUAAGGCCAAUAUGAUUAUUUAUAAACUAAAAAUAUAGGCCGACAAAUCUAUACAAGUAUCAAUGUACAUGACAUAUGUCUACAAGCCUCUAAGAGUACAUAAAUUUCAUACAAGUCGGGACAGGACUACGCUCUAACGAUCAACAUGUCCAAAUCAUACUGACCAAAUGGGCAACUCCAGAGCUAGUGGAGGGCAUCAACACCUUCCGUUGAGCUGAUUGCCUAUAAGGAGGAUCGUCAACCUCUCUAUGAAGACCGAUAGGGAUGAAACGCAGUUUCCCAAAGUAAAAUGGAUUUUAGUACAAAUAAAGUACCGAGUAUGCAAGGCAUGAAAGUAUUAUAUAAUUAUAUGAAAGAAACAUGGAGUAAUGAACUCAACCUGUAAGUUUGAAUUGCUCUGUAAAUCAUGAAACAUUUAUAAUGUCAUGCAUAUGCAUAUGCAUGUCUUGUCUUACAUAGGUAUACGCGUAUAUAACAUCAUCAAGCCUCAGAGGACAUCCCAUCAUAUUAUCUCGGCCACAUAACCUAUAUAUAUAUAGCAUACACAUAUAUGACUCCAUCAGGCCAUGUGUCAAUAUGCAUGUAGAAAUGAAUGCAAUGUAUAAUGAAGUAAGUCAAUAAUAUCUCUCGGAAUGUCAUAAGAUCAAUAUGCCUUCAGAUAAACUUUAUCAACUUAAUUAUUAUCUGAGACACAUGAACAAAUGAUAUAAUAAUAAAACACAUAGGGAAUCAAGAGCAUAUGUACCCGUAGUACUUCUAUGAAUAAAGUCAUUUAUAAAAGUUGCGUGUUUGCUCGUUUUGUUUGUAUUAUAUGGAUCAAAGGAAAAAAGGGAUAGCCUUGACAUAUCUUAACUAUGUUGAUUCCUUAAUACUUUCCAAACAAUUCUUUAAAUAACUCAACUCAAUCUACCAUAACAUAAGGAGAUUCAAAUCAGUGCUGAGUAAGGCUAAGUCUGCAACUUAAACUAGUAGCUUGUUUAUGUAAAUUUGGGUAGCAUUUUUCUUGUAAUAAGGACCUCCUCCAAUACCAUAUACCAACAAAAACAACCAGAGCAAUGCAAUCAGCAAUUAAAAACUACCUAACUACAAUUCAAGACCUUUAAUACAACAAAUCUCCAAAUAUACCAUAACACACCAAUCAACAUGUUAUCAAGUAUCCAGACGCGGCAACAACGAGCAACCAGCCUACUACCAUACCACAUGUGGCAUUUAUUCACGUCCUUUAUCCUUACAAACUCCAUAAACCAGUGGCACAAUAGGCCAACAUGAGUGGAUUACAAAACAGCCCACUAAAAGUGGAACAUAUCGAUCUCACGUCUUCCGAUAAUCGUCUCGUGAGUUCUAACUAUUAGGAAACAAAUUUAUCAAACUUCCUUGAUAUUGAAAAGCUUAAAUACAGAAAUUAGACAUUUUCUUAACUAUGAAAUGACACACCCCUUUUUUUCAAAAAACCUUCACUAAACCCAUUUAAAUUAAUUAAAAAGAUUUAGUAAAGCUUGAAAAAUAUUUUCAAUUAGAAUGUGAAAAAAAUUGUAUUCAAAAGGAAAUAACUCAGAGUCUCCACCUGACAUUUGAUUUUGGUGUAUCGGGUCACUAUUUUUCUAAAUAUAAUUUUUCCCUUUUAAAACACUUGGACUUCAAAACUAAGUCCACACCAGAGAUACGAGUAAGGGAGUUUAUUUGACUCCGGGAGAAGGCAUUAGGCACUCCCCAAGUCCCAUAACUAGUACGGUUGCGUACCCAAUCAAGUUGGCUUUUAGAAAAUUCGAGUUAAAGUAAAACAAACAUAUAAAAAUAAACACACGCGAGGCUCGAGGUCGUUCCCACCUAAUAAAAAGAAAAAUAAAGAUAAAAUUAAAAAUAAAAGACUGCAAGCUAUACUUUCGGCCUCCAACAACAAGUCCUCCGGGGCAUUCCACGGAAUAAAUAUAUACAAGUCCUUCGGGGCAUUCUUCGGAUAAAUUUAAGUAAGGGAACAACCUCUCACCUCGAAAAGAAGCUAAAACUAAAACAUCCUAAAGGUUUGCCUACCCAAAUAUGAUCUGCCUAAAACAUGUUACUAACGCUCAAAUGUAACAAAGGUAGAAAUAAAAUAAAACAAAAACUAAAAUAAAUAAAGAUUCAUUUUAUGCUCAUUUUUUGUUUAACUUUUUCAUUUUUCAUUAGACCAAGUCCAAUCCUAAAGCAUGUGAACAAAUUAAAUACUAACGAUCUAAGUCUUUUUCCUUUCCCAUGACCGACCUUGUUACUCUAAGUUUUGUAUUUCUUUUGCAAUAUACACUAACCCAUCCCCUUCUCUUUUUUUAAAAAUACCUUAACAUUCAAAUGAAAUGAGUGUAGUAGUUUAACAUAAAACAAAGAAGCAGAAACAUGAAACAUUUUAGGACAAACUCACGAUAAGCAAUAGAAACAUUUCACAUAGAAACAGAAACAUUUCACAUUUCCACAAAGAACUAACGAUAAGCAAUAUCAACACUACUAUAAAAAUAUCGGCUAAUAGAGUAGGAAGAGAAUGAACCUCAGGAGCAACAGAUCUUUGAAUCUGAAAAUGUUUAGGAUCAAAAAUUCGAAUUAGCACCGAAAAGCCCGAAACCAAAACCAGCCCAAUAACACACCAUCGGAUUCCAUGAUUCCAAAACUGAAAAUCAUACGAAGAAGCUCGCUAAACCAAGUUGUUCGACCUUCUGCUUAUGACUGUGUGUGCGUGUUUCUGGCAUGGUCGCCGGUUUCCGGCUAUCAAGAAAUGAAAACGGAGGGUUCCGGUGAGAUUUAUUUUGAAGGUGUGCGGUUCGUUUUGAAGGAUGGAAGAUAGAAGAAGAAGAAUUGGCAAUGAGGGUGGUCUCCAGCGAGCAGAUUGCGUCUUCAGGUAGAGUGACGGGGUCUUAAGUCGAUUGAGAGCGAGUAAGGGCUGUGGGAGGGUGGUUUGACCGGAAAUGGCUUCUGUCCGGCGGCUUGGAGAGGAGAUGGCAGCGGCGUUAUGUUAGGGGUCCUAUGUUUGUGUUUGCUUCAAUGUUAGAGCUGAAGAAGGGCAGUCAUGGAGUUUUGGUAAGUUGUAGGUUGAAGAAGAAGCAGUGGCUUCGGCGGCUUAGGGUGGUCCGGCGGUUGCAGUUGGUUUGGUUUCUAUGGAGUGACGGUUGAUGGUGUUCUAUUGUGUAUUAGGGUUCAAGCAGAAGGGAAGCUCCUAUGAUUUCUUUUAUUCCAAGUCUUCUCCAUUAUUGUCUCCUAAGGGUUUUCUUGUUGUAGGUUAAGGUGAAGAAGAAGAAGACUAGUCUUUCUAGGGUUUGGGCGUUUGGGUUAGUGAGUUAGGGGAAAUUUGGGCUAAAAAUUGGACCUUU
rnacentral:lncRNA from 1 species